UCCUUCGGGAUGAAGAUGUGAAAGGAAAGCGGCGGACGGGUGAGUAACGCGUGAGUAACCUACCUAUCAGAGGGGGACAACAUUUCGAAAGGAAUGCUAAUACCGCAUAAUGUCACGGAUGGGCAUCCUGACGUGACCAAAGAUUUAUCGCUGAAAGAUGGCCUCGCGUCUGAUUAGCUAGUUGGUGAGGUAACGGCCCACCAAGGCGACGAUCAGUAGCCGGACUGAGAGGUUGAACGGCCACAUUGGGACUGAGAUACGGCCCAGACUCC
rnacentral:rRNA from 1 species